GCCUAGUUAGCUUGGUUGGUAAAGCGUCAGCCUUGUAAGCACUAGGCUGCGGGUUCGAUUCCCACCCGGGGCG
rfam:Asian citrus Psyllid, Diaphorina citri - Florida Strain, whole genome shotgun sequence.